UACAGAGGGGGCAAGCGUUGUUCGGAAUUACUGGGCGUAAAGGGCGCGUAGGCGGCCUGUUAAGUCGGACGUGAAAUCCCUCGGCUCAACCGGGGAACUGCGUCUGAUACUGGCGGGCUUGAAUUCGGGAGAGGGAUGUGGAAUUCCAGGUGUAGCGGUGAAAUGCGUAGAGAUCGGGAGGAACAUCAGUGGCGAAGGCGGCCAUCUGGGACAACACUGACGCUGAAGCACGAAAGCGUGGGGAGCAAACAGG
rnacentral:rRNA from 1 species